rnacentral:rRNA from 1 species
GACGAACGCUGGCGGCGUGCCUAAUACAUGCAAGUCGAGCGAGCGGCGGACGGGUGAGUAUCACGUAUGAACCUACCGAUAAGCGGGGGACAACAUCCGGAAACGGGUGCUAAUACCGCAUACUUAUCGGUGGCCUUGCGGUGCAUUAGCUCGUUGGUGGGGUAACGGCCUACCAAGGCUAUGAUGAAUAGACGACCUGAGAGGGUAAUCGGCCACAUUGGAACUGAGACACGGCCCAAACUCCUACGGGAGGCAGCAGUGGGGAAUCUUCCGCAAUGGGCGCAAGCCUGACGGAGCAACGCCGCGUGUAUGAAGAAGGCCUUCGGGUUGUAAAGUACUUUCAGCGGGGAGGCGUUACUCGCAGAAGAAGCACCGGCUAACUCCGUGCCAGCAGCCGCGGUAAUUC